UACGGAGGGGGCUAGCGUUGUUCGGAAUUACUGGGCGUAAAGCGCACGUAGGCGGCUUUGUAAGUUAGAGGUGAAAGCCCGGGGCUCAACCCCGGAAUUGCCUUUAAGACUGCAUCGCUAGAAUUGUGGAGAGGUGAGUGGAAUUCCGAGUGUAGAGGUGAAAUUCGUAGAUAUUCGGAAGAACACCAGUGGCGAAGGCGACUCACUGGACACAUAUUGACGCUGAGGUGCGAAAGCGUGGGGGGCAAACAGG
rnacentral:rRNA from 1 species